CGAUACGAGUCAGCUUAGUCUUGACGUCAAGGAUGCUGAGACGCAGAGCUUGUCGUAUAAGAUGAAGAAAAUUGAUUGGCGACGUGAACAUAAUGAAACUAAUAAUUACGGCCACACGUGAAAAAGUCGGAAGAAUUGGGUCUCUAUAUUGUUCGACAACUCGGAUCUCAGGAUCAUAGCUGCCGAAACGACGGUAACGAUGAAAUAAAGAAGAUGCGUGUCAAGACAUCCGUACGACGGAACGGUACCUACGGUUCACCGGAGCACGGUAAAAAGGGCAGACAUACGUGGCGCAAUAAUUAAGACGGAUAUAUGCAGUGACGAUGGUCGCGUUUCGUUAGUCGGCUUAUAUUAAGAAUAUUUACAUCCGAAAUUAGAACGAAGGGCAAGAGUUGUGAAGGUAAGUACCAAAGUAUGGUUAUCCCGUAUCGGUGUGUGACGUGCGUGUUGGCGGUAA